AUACGAAGGGUGCAAGCGUUAAUCGGAAUUACUGGGCGUAAAGCGCGCGUAGGCGGUUGGAUAAGUCGGAUGUGAAAGCCCCGGGCUCAACCUGGGAACUGCAUUCGAAACUUUCCGGCUAGAGUAUGGUAGAGGGAAGCGGAAUUCCACAUGUAGCGGUGAAAUGCGUAGAUAUGUGGAGGAACACCAGUGGCGAAGGCGGCUUCCUGGACCAAUACUGACGCUGAGGUGCGAAAGCGUGGGGAGCAAACAGGAUUAGAAACCCUAGUAGUCC
rnacentral:rRNA from 1 species